CAUAUUGGUAAUCAGUAAGGAUUGCUGCUCUCUCCAAGGCCUGGAAGAAAUUUUCUCAUAAUUUACCAAGCUGAAUGCAUAUGAGAGUCUGCUGACUUCUCUUCAAAUGUGUGCUGCUCAUCACUUUAGGAUGCAUUAAAAGAAUGCUCAAGUGAGACUUCAGCAGAGUUCAAAAUUGUGCAGUGGUGCUGAUGUGGAUUCCUGAGGCUCUGGAACAGGACAAACAAUCACACAGGAGUCUGGCAUACACAUGACCGGGACCGGUUAUUGGGACAGGACGAGAUAGGAAAUUGUUCAAUUUAACUCAACUUUCUUCUCAUUAGAAACUCUGGCAAUGCUAUUUUCCUUUGUAAAGCACAAUUUGUCAUUUCUGUCCAAAUAAUUAGUUGCAGCAGUAUGUAAAUACUCUUGUGAUACCGCUUGCAACUUCAUCAUUCUAAUAAGUGUAUGUAUAAACCAGCACACAUGCAUGGAAAUAAACAUGUAGAGUAACUGGAAGAGCAAAAAAGCAUCCAACGUAAGUUGCUAACAGAGCUCUGUAGGCCAUGGCAUGUAUUUCAUGCUUGGUGAAAAUCCCGUGUUACUUAAACCAUCUUGGUAACCAGAAUAAAAUUAUGAA